rnacentral:rRNA from 1 species
GUCGAGCGGUAAGGCCCUUCGGGGUACACGAGCGGCGAACGGGUGAGUAACACGUGGGUGAUCUGCCUUGCACUCUGGGAUAAGCCUGGGAAACUGGGUCUAAUACCGGAUAUGAGCCUGGACUGCAUGGUCUGGGUUGGAAAGGUUUACUGGUGCGAGAUGGGCCCGCGGCCUAUCAGCUUGUUGGUGAGGUAACGGCUCACCAAGGCGACGACGGGUAGCCGACCUGAGAGGGUGACCGGCCACACUGGGACUGAGACACGGCCCAGACUCCUACGGGAGGCAGCAGUGGGGAAUAUUGCACAAUGGGCGCAAGCCUGAUGCAGCGACGCCGCGUGAGGGAUGACGGCCUUCGGGUUGUAAACCUCUUUUGACAGGGACGAAGCGCAAGUGACGGUACCUGUAGAAGAAGCACCGGCCAACUACGUGCCAGCAGCCGCGGUAAUACGUAGGGUGCGAGCGUUGUCCGGAAUUCUGGGGCGUAUAGAGCUUGUAGGCGGUCUGUCGCGUCGAUUGUGAAAACUUGCAGCUCAACUGCAAGCUUGCAGUCGAUACGGGCAGACUAGAGUACUGCAGGGGAGACUGGAAUUCCUGGUGUAGCGGUGAAAUGCGCAGAUAUCAGGAGGAACACCGGUGGCGAAGGCGGGUCUCUGGGCAGUAACUGACGCUGAGAAGCGAAAGCGUGGGUAGCGAACAGGAUUAGAUACCCUGGUAGUCCACGCCGUAAACGGUGGGUACUAGGUGUGGGUUUCCUUCCACGGGAUCCGUGCCGUAGCUAACGCAUUAAGUACCCCGCCUGGGGAGUACGGCCGCAAGGCUAAAACUCAAAGGAAUUGACGGGGGCCCGCACAAGCGGCGGAGCAUGUGGAUUAAUUCGAUGCAACGCGAAGAACCUUACCUGGGUUUGACAUACACCGGGAAAGCCAUAGAGAUAUGGCCCCCCUUGUGGUCGGUGUACAGGUGGUGCAUGGCUGUCGUCAGCUCGUGUCGUGAGAUGUUGGGUUAAGUCCCGCAACGAGCGCAACCCUUAUCUUAUGUUGCCAGCGCGUAAUGGCGGGGACUCGUGAGAGACUGCCGGGGUCAACUCGGAGGAAGGUGGGGACGACGUCAAGUCAUCAUGCCCCUUAUGUCCAGGGCUUCACACAUGCUACAAUGGCCGGUACAGAGGGCUGCGAUACCGUGAGGUGGAGCGAAUCCCUUAAAGCCGGUCUCAGUUCGGAUCGGGGUCUGCAACUCGACCCCGUGAAGUUGGAGUCGCUAGUAAUCGCAGAUCAGCAACGCUGCGGUGAAUACGUUCCCGGGCCUUGUACACACCGCCCGUCACGUCAUGAAAGUCGGUAACACCCGAAGCCGGUGGCCUAACCCUUGUGGAGGGAGCCGUCGAA